CUGUCUGUCUGUCUAGCACCACAGCUCGGGCGCUGCUGCAGAGGGAAGAAAGAUUUGGGGAGAGGGGCUCAGAGACGGGCUGGGGGUGAGGUCUCCCUGGCUGAUUUUGGCCUGAAAAGGAUAGCUCCUUCGGCUUAGGGACUAGGGCUGGGACUGGGUGACAGGUGGGGAAACAGGCACAGAGAGGGCAGUGCCCAUUCCUGAUGUGGUCUGGAGUGGAGCCUGGGCAGGGUGGUACCACGUGGGUGCUUUAGUCUGUGGGCCACAGAGCCUCGAGACAGAGCACAGAGAGGGAUGGCACGGGGACCCAAGGACCGGGACUGGGAGUCCUUUUACCACCUCCUAGUGGGUGCUCUUAAGUCCAUCGUACGUGUUUCAUGUUCCCCGCGACCGGGGCCCUGCAGAGGCCCAGCCGCCGCUGGACUGCAGGAAGUAUUUAUGAGCACAUCUGUGUGCUGCAAUUGUGUGUCUCUAACGGGGGAGGGGGAGGAGGGGAUUUGGUGGUGAUUAUUUAAGGUAGAGGGCAGCAAGGGGAUGGGGGCAGAAGAAGUGCGGCUCCCGCACGGUUACUGUGCUGCUUGUAUAGGAGAGAGGCACGCCCGCCUCAGGGAUGAGAGCGGGUCGGGACCAGAGGCCUGUGGGUGAUUCUCGGUAUCCGCGGGAAGGGAGCAAAGGGAUCCGAGUGGUUUGCGGUCCUUCAUGGUUUUAUUACACAUCGUAGGAGAAUAAAGAAGUUGUAAUGAUGGCCUUGAGUAGAGCAAUUGUGAGACUGUGCUGGACAAAAGACGGUGAUUAAUCCAGGUCCGCUAACCCAACAUCCGCACACAAAAAGCUCUGGGCUAUUUGCUUCCCUUUAAGGGGGCUUUGUGUUCCCUAGAAUGGGCACACUGGGGUUUCUCCUCUGGAGAAGAUCCCCGCUGUGGGGAAGGAAACUGAAGUCCGGCACAAGCCGGGACUGCUGGGCGUCCCCUGUGUAGUUAACAACGAGUAUGGACGCACCGAGGAAGUGAGAGCGCCAACACGCGCCAAUGCGGAGAGCGUGUCUAUGGACAGGUGUUAGGAGCGAUCUGGCUCUACCCAAAGUAGUUGUUAAAAAUAGUGAAACAGACACCCAACUGUGGGUGUGGGUAGGAAGCAUAGCCCCAGGUGUAUUUAAGAAAAGAAAAGUAAAAGGAGUUCCCUGGCGGCUCAGGGGGUGAAGGAUCUGGUGUCGUCAUUGAUGUGGCUCAGGUCACUGCUGUGGUAUGGGUUCAAGGCCUGGCCCUGGAAUUUACAUAUAUAAAUGUCAUGGGAAUGGCCAACAAAAAACCAAAAAAGCCCAGAUGUGUGGAACAGUCAUUGGUCCUGGGCUGAAUGGUGCCUUCGUGUGUAUCUGCCUAUGGUCGGAAAUGAAUUAGACGCGUAAAUAAAAUACAGGACGAAAUCAGAGCAGACCAAGUGGGAACCAUCCAAGAUAAGGUUUUACGAAUUACAGAGUAAGAUGAACACGCUUAUGUAGAAUCGUGGACUGUUUAGAGCAACAAAACCAAAGUUCUCACCUCUGGGAAUAAGAAGCAUCGUUUUAUUGUGUGUUGGAGCUGAGUUCAUGUGUGUUCCCUGUAUUUAAAAAAAAAAAAAGUAAAAACGAGAAAAGGGACAAGUAGGAAACAAAGAGGAGAUUACAUCUGGAAUCAAAGCUAAUUAUGGCUUCAGUUCUGAGCCCAUUAGGAAAAAGAUCUGGGCUGGUCCUUCUGUGAGGAGAGCAGCAGAGAGACAGAUGCUUGUCAUGGUCAUUAGUCUUGUUUCUGAUUAGGGUGGUGAAUUCAUGCAUGUUGAUUGUAAUAAAUAACAUGAUUAAACGAAAAAAUAUGCCCAGUGAGCGCUGUGCCUGGGCCGGCAGUGAGUCUGUGUCUUGAAGCAAAGGUUGUGAUUUAUCCUGGGCUGCGCAGCCGUUGGCUGUUAGCAAACAUCUAGGUUGAUUCAUCCUUUUUAACAUCUGCCUUGUGUCCCACAGAACGGAGGCCCCAGAGUGGGUCCCCUGACAUGCCGCUGGUGAAGACCGUGGCCGUGACCUCUGUGGGAAACGAGCCAUGGACCAACCAACGUUAUUACAGAAUAUUGAGUCGAUCUCCUUGUGCUAUACAGAAAGAUUCAAAAAGGACCAAGAAUGGCGAUGGGGAGUGUGGAGUUGCAUGAAGACUAUUGGCUGAUCCUUGUGCCACCAGCGAGGUCCCCUGUAGAAAGAUUCUAUUAGGUCUGAGAGAAAUGAACAAAAAUCACAGAUUCAACAUACCCAAUCUGAUUGAUUCAGUGAUGAAGCUGUCAGCUGUCAGUAUCCGUGGAUACACAGCCAAGGGACUCACGGUAUAGGAUGAAGAUGAUUUUUAUCUCAAAUGAUUCUGAAAAAGAGGGCAGACGCUGAAGAGUAUGGCGCCUAUGAGGUGGAGGAAGAUUAAUGACUGAUCCUGUUCCACCCUCCUGAGGGCCAUAUAACAAGAUGGGACCUAGUUUCUCCCUGCUUCGAUUAAGUACAUGGAGAUAUGCCAGAUGCCGUACUGACUCCCCUCUUCCACUGUGACAGUCAGAGACACCUCGACAUCGGCAAGUGACCGCUGGGGGCAGUGUUGCCCCCACUGAGAAGCAUCAGGAAUGACCCCAGGACAGCACAUUUACUCAUUUUCUAAGGAACAAAAUCUUGGCAGUUAGCUCUGUGGCUUAAGAACAGAGAGAAAUUUAAUGCAAACACAGCAAGCUGAUCUGAUCCUUCUCUGACUGGGAAGACCCUGACUAUUCUGGGACUUAGGAGAUUAAAGGCCAAGGUGAGGAAGCAUCAGUGUUGGUGUUAUUACACCUGCUUUACCAUAAGGACAAAUCAGGCAAAAGGCAGAAGAGCAGGUGGACGCUAAUGAGUGAACAGAGAAUGGCUGAUUUAAUCAUUUAAUAAAGAAUUGCUAUCAUGAGCGAGCAGCAUAAAGUCUAAUAUAAAGUGAAGACACUGUCGCAUUUGGUCGUUAGCCUGUGAUGGAGACCUUGACCUUUGCCUCUCCGGAUAAAGAGAGAAGCGCUCGCUGGUGACGAUGGUGGCCAUGGCUUCCGUGGGUAAAUCGAGGAACAAAAAGGAUGCUGUUCUUGGGUCAGUGAUGACAGUGAGACUUGACUCGACUUCAUGAUUAACCUAGCACCACCAACUGAUGUUCUUUAAGUCAGUCUGGACCCUUUGUCCUUCUGAACGUUGCUCCACAGAAUGAAGGUCACGGCUGAUUGCAUCCGUCUGUUCUGAGGAAGAUCUUGGCUGUUACCUUUCUGGAAUGGAUGUGCAAUGAUUCAAUUAAAGACUAUAGAACUUACAGUGGGUGCUCCAGGUCAAUGUAAGCAUCUUCAAGAGUCCUGCUCUCUCUGGCCGCCUCAACGUGUCCGGAACAUGGAGACUGAUAAUCAACGCCUCAGCUGAUUUCAGCUUCUGCCACGAUCAAGACUGUCCUGCUGCCACCGUUUUGUAAAAGACCAAGACUGGACUCAGCGAGAUGACUGGAAAAUUCUCUCAUGGUCACGUUCUCCAGUUGCCUCCACGUCUGGGCGUAUAGAGACCAGAAAAGAGCACUGAACUCACCCAAGCCACCACGUUCAGGACGUCAAGGCAGCAUCUCUGUCCAGAACCAUCAAGUCCAAUGGUGGAUGCUCUCAAGCGGGUGCAGACAUUGCCCGUGGCUUCUCCUGUGUGUGAAGAGCUAGCGAGGAAGAACUGAUGCACCUGAACCGAUUAAGCAUUUGGCCAUCACAGGAGCUGCACUGGUGGUCCUGUGUGCAAAAUGGAUCCUCUAAGCUGAUUUCAACUUCUGUGAUUAAGGUUGUCACGUUGCCUCCGUGUUGAGAAAGAUACAAAGGUUUUCUGGAAGGAUUCCUUCAUUGAUAACGAUGUAAGCUGUUUUCAUGGGAAGGGAAGAACAAGUUGGCGCUAGUGAAUGAACUGGAGUGGUGUUAUCCUUCUGCCCUGGCUCUGAACUCUGUGUCAGGAGCCAAGAGACCAAUAGUGGACCUGCCUGAAGGGGUUUAGCGCCUUCCAUGAUGACAAGCUCUUUGGCGGCAUCUACACAGCAUAAGCGUGGAGACCUGGUGUGCAGCCGCCGGACCCGAAGGCAGGCUCCUUCCUGGAUGAGCAGGCGAGGAUGGCAGCGUUGUCUCUGGAUCCAGAAGGCCAGUGGUGGAAGCCGAAGGCCAGGCCAGGCUGCGUGGGGCCGAGACCCCUCCUCUGGCGGUGGUGGCAGGAGAGAUCCCAAGGAGUGGAGCCAUUCCCUGGGGAAGCCCCUGAAAGUGCAACAGUGGGUGUGACAGAGGAGCAGCAAUGGGCUGGAGACCUUCAGGGGCCAGGGACCUCCGUCGUCAAUGUUUGGGUCCCGGCCGGGAUGGACUUGGGUGAUGGAGAAGCCUGGUCCAGUGACUCUUCAGUGGGAAGACCGGGGCGCAGGGAAGAAGGUGUCACGAGACCGGCCUGGUGGAUGCAGGUUAUCUGAUGGAUGGCUCAAGGGGGCCCGGACUCUGUCCUGGCAGGGAUCUGUGUCCUUGUGAAGAAACGGUGGUCCCGUUUAGGGGACUGAGUGCAGCCCAGCCCCAGCCUGACCUUCAACCCCCAAGCCCUGAGGUUCUGCCUCCUUGGGCUCGUAGCAGAAUCACCUGGACCCCGGGGAAGGAGCAGAACCGGCUGACGCUUGAGUCCGCUGAGUGCAGAAAGGGCGAGUCAGUGGCGGUCCUCCUCGCUUUCCCUGUCUCUCUGUCACUGUCCCUGACUCUCUGUCUCGGUGGCUCUGCCUCGGUCUGUCCCUCUUGUCUCUCGCCUGGCUCUCUCUGUCGCCGUACGGGUCUCUUUCCUUUCUGGCAGCUUCGCGUCUGUGUGGUGGGGUGCACACCAGACCCCGGCGAGCCGAUUGGGCCCGUUUCCCUGGUGAGACCCCUAGACGAUUCCGGGCCGAGACCCCUCCUCUGGCGGUGGUGGCAGGAGAGAUCCCAAGUUUUGUCCUUGGGCCAGGUGUUUGGAUUUCAUUGCCUUAGUCCUAAAUGGAGUCCCAACAUGAAGGACAGCCCUUCGACUGGAGAGCCCUGCCCCUCCGGGCUCACUAGUGGAGGCCCGAGAACAUGGAUAUUCAUGAAGGUCCCUCCGUGUGGAGUGUGUACCCCUCAGAGCAAUUGCACUGGAGAUGCUUUAGCAUCUUCCGUACGGACCCGAGCUCUGGGAUUGCCUCUGAACAUACGUGUUAGGACAUGGGAGAGUCACAGGACAUGCUCCCGCUCUUUCGGCUUCUGCUGAGCUCAAGAUUGUCAGGCCGCCUCCGCGCCAGCAAAGAAGCGAAGGAGGGUGCACCGGACCUGAAUGCAGCUUUCUUCCUUGAUGAGCAGGACAGGAGCUCAAAGGGAUGUUGGCCUCCGCUGGGAUGAAGGCUCUCCUCUUGGAGUUGUUCUAGGAGAGACCAAGGGCCACACCCGCGGCAUUUGGAAGUUUCUAGGCUAGGGGUCGAAUCGGAGCCAUAGCCGCCGGCCUACACCACAGCCACAGCAACACAGGAUCCAAGCCACAUCUGCAGCCUACGCCACAGCUCAAGCCACGCUGGAUCCCUAACCCACGGCGCAAGGCCAGGAAUUGAGCUCCCUUCUUCGUGGAUACCAGUCGGGUUUGUUACCGCUGAGCCACAAUGGGAACUCCCCAGCAUAACUGUUUUAAAAAGAUAUAUUACUGUGAGAAUAAACUUACCUAAUAAGGAUAUCAUGUCUUUUCUAGGGUUUUUGUGAAUGAAUGGUUUUAAAUUAUUUUUAGUGAUUUACUGAAUUUGUCAAUAAGCCACAGAGAAAUGAGUGAAGAAAAAGAGGGACUUAUUGGUGGCAUAUGAGGCAUGUACAGUGCAUGUGUGUCUGGAACUCUGAGGUCCAGUGUGGGUGGAAUCUAGUCCAUUGUCCUGUUUGGGGUGAUUCUAGAGACACAUGUCUAGAAAAUACAAGAAACUCGUUUGUGGGUUUUUAUAUUUAUGUACUUUCUUUUGAAAUAAUUGGAUCAAUGAAAUAAAGAAUAAACAACCCAAUAAAUACAUAAAGAUGAAAACAG
rnacentral:lncRNA from 1 species